GCUUGUUUUGGCUUUGAAUAUAAGGGAUAGGGCUGUUGUGUUCUUCUCAUUUGCUUGUUGCGCAAUUCGGUGGAACAACAGCAAGAGAAGAAGAAGAACAAGAGGAAUAAGAAGAAGAAGCAGAAGAGAAGAGGAGAAGAAGAGGAAGGAGGAAGGAGGAAGGAGCUGCUGUCCGAAUGCUUCUGCUGCCCUAUGGUUCUCUGCUGCUGCAGAACAGAGAGAGAUGCAUGCAAGUGGGGCUGGAUACAGCUGCUGUCCAUCUGAUACUGAGCAACGAACUGCAGUCUGAGAUGAUUUCUGCUGAACCAUAGAAGCUAUUGUUCCUAGUUUAUUUAUAGCUACUGUACACACAUCUGAAGGUUUUGUGGAUGUGAAGCAUAAUAGCCGUGUGAUGAUGGUUGUAAUAUUAUCGAUCUGAGGCACGGUAUAGCUGAGGUUCUUUCCGGUACUGUGGACUCAAAGGUCAGUAUUAUAGUUGUGAUCAUGGAUGUGUGAUUGGAUGUUAUGGAUGAUAUGGAUACUAUGGAUGCAUGUAGAUGCAUAUGGUGAAUAUCACAUCCCAGUACUAUAACCCCUUGCAAAUAGGGGUAAAGUAUUGGCUAAUCCCACUCGGUGGUGGAUCGCAGAGGACUACUAUACCUGGGUAUGAUGUACUGUAUCCUUAGAGGGCACAACAUGGUACGGCGUACUGUAUGCAUGACUAUCAGACAACAUGGUGGGCCCGAUGACGAUGUGGGAUUCUGAAACCAUGGCUAUCAGGGGUUGGCUGGGGGACCGAGGUUCUUUUCUGGACUGGUUGACUCCUACUUACAACUAGCUUGCAUCUCUAAGGCCCGACAUACUGGGAAGGGGAUUCCACCUAUACUGCUUAUAGCACUUAUACCCAUACAUACUGAGACUUAGUAAUUAGAAUGGAUAUUUAUAAUUAAAAUGGAUCAUAUGACUGUGUAUCUAUGAUUUGACUGAGAGAGUGUGUUGGUUUCAUGUUGUUGUGUGUGCUUGCAUACUCACCCCUCACUGAGCUUGUGAAGCCCACCCCUCAUUGAUUACUAUUUUUAGAUGGUGGAACCGGUGUUGAUACAAGAUUGGAUUUUAACGGUGGUUGUGAGGCUUGUGUCUACGAGACACCAGGUUGUUGAUUGAUUUCACUACUGUUAUUCAGUCAUUUCUCUUGAUGUAUAUAUUGAUGUUCUAUGUAAGAGGUAAAUAUUAAACCUAUGGGUUGUUAACAAAUGAAUAAUGUAUGUUAUAAUUUAUCACUUUAGUAAAUCACUAGUGAUAUUUGUAUGA